UCUCGAUAGCGUAAAAGUUAACUCAAAUAUGUAUGGAAUUGGAACGUUUGCCUACGUUUGCCGCUAGGGGCGUUGUUCCAGCUCCAUAAGUUAACUUUUACGCUAUCGA
rnacentral:pre_miRNA from 9 species